rnacentral:rRNA from 1 species
GUAGGUGGCAAGCGUUGUCCGGAAUUAUUGGGCGUAAAGCGCGCGCAGGCGGGUUCUUUAAGUCUGAUGUGAAAAGCCCACGGGCUCAACCGUGGAGGGUCAUUGGAAACUGGAGAACUUGAGUACAGAAGAGGAAAGCGGAAUUCCACGUGUAGCGGUGAAAUGCGUAGAGAUGUGGAGGAACACCAGUGGCGAAGGCGGCUUUCUGGUCUGUAACUGACGCUGAGGCGCGAAAGCGUGGGGAGCAAACAGGAUUAGAUACCCUGGUAGUCCACGCCGUAAACGAUGAGUGCUAAGUGUUAGGGGGUUUCCGCCCCUUAGUGCUGCAGCUAACGCAUUAAGCACUCCGCCUGGGGAGUACGACCGCAAAGGUUG